rnacentral:rRNA from 1 species
AACGAACGCUGGCGGCAGGCCUAACACAUGCAAGUCGAGCGAGGACUUCGGUUCUAGCGGCGGACGGGUGAGUAACGCGUGGGAAUGUGCCCUUCUCUACGGAAUAGCCCUGGGAAACUGGGAGUAAUACCGUAUACGCCCUAUUGGGGAAAGAUUUAUCGGAGAAGGAUCAGCCCGCGUUGGAUUAGGUAGUUGGUGGGGUAAUGGCCUACCAAGCCGACGAUCCAUAGCUGGUUUGAGAGGAUGAUCAGCCACACUGGGACUGAGACACGGCCCAGACUCCUACGGGAGGCAGCAGUGGGAAUCUUAGACAAUGGGGGCAACCCUGAUCUAGCCAUGCCGCGUGAGUGAUGAAGGCCUUAGGGUUGUAAAGCUCUUUCAGCUGGGAAGAUAAUGACGGUACCAGCAGAAGAAGCCCCGGCUAACUCCGUG